rnacentral:rRNA from 1 species
GACGUAGGCGCGAGCGUUGUCCGGAUUUAUUGGGCGUAAAGAGCUCGUAGGCGGCUUGUCGCGUCGGCUGUGAAAACCCGUGGCUCAACCAUGUGGUCUGCAGUCGAUACGGGCAGGCUAGAAUUCGGUAGGGGGAGACUGGAAUUCCUGGUGUAGCGGUGAAAAUGCGCAGAUAUCAGGAGGAACACCGGUGGCGAAAGGCGGGGUCUCUGGGGCCGAUAUUUGACGCUGAGGAGCGAAAAAGCGUGGGGGGAGCGAAACAGG